rnacentral:rRNA from 1 species
UACGUAGGGUGCAAGCGUUAAUCGGAAUUACUGGGCGUAAAGCGUGCGCAGGCGGUUCUUUAAGUCAGAUGUGAAAUCCCCGGGCUCAACCUGGGAACUGCAUUUGUGACUGUAGAGCUGGAGUACGGCAGAGGGGGAUGGAAUUCCGCGUGUAGCAGUGAAAUGCGUAGAUAUGCGGAGGAACACCGAUGGCGAAGGCAAUCCCCUGGGCCUGUACUGACGCUCAUGCACGAAAGCGUGGGGAGCAAACAGG